rnacentral:lncRNA from 1 species
UUUUUUUUUGUUUGUUUUGUUUUUUUUUUGUUUUUGUUUUUGUCUUUUUGUUGUUGUUGCUAUUUCUUGGGCCGCUCCCGCGGCAUAUGGAGGUUCCCAGGCUAGGGGUUGAAUCGGAGCUGUAGCCACCAGCCUAUGCAAGAGCCACAGCAACGCGGGAUCCGAGCCGCGUCUGCAACCUACACCACAGCUCACGGCAACGCCGGAUCGUUAACCCACUGAGCAAGGGCAGGGACCGAACCCGCAACCUCAUGGUUCCUAGUCGGAUUCGUUAACCACUGUCCCACGAUGGGAACUCCACUUUCCACUUUUAAGGCAGCUCUUCCCCCCAUCUCUCAAAAAGGGGGAAAGGAUACUUCAAACCAUUCUCUUCUUUCUGUCACCAAAAUGUGCUGACUGCACACCUACAUGACAAUAUGCUUGGCAGUGUGGAUUCUAGAGAAGUAAGGCAGGGAUGCAGACUGCCCUGCAGGGAACUGGGAGGACAGACAUCAGAGGCAGGAUUAGGAGGAAGGAAGCAGCACAUGCCCAGUUCAGCUGAGGGCCAGUACUCAGAGCUAAUAAAGAGGAGGGGCUGAGGGCAGCAGAAACCUCCACUUGCACCAAAUCUGUGGUCUCUGACCUCAAAUGACAUCAGAUUUUCAUUUAACCUUCUAAAAAAUGGAAACAACUGAACUAGUGGUCACUCAGGGAUUUGUAAAGCUGAAGUAAAAUUAAAGUUGCAAAGUACAGGCUGAGAAUCUCAACACGGUGAAUGCUGGCAGCUUUUAUAUUAAUAUAACACAAGAUAACCUGUAGAGUCCAUGCUCAGCCCAGCCCAGAGAAGCUAUGACUGCAGCUCCCUUACCCACUGUCAGGGUCUGCAGGUUGAAGCUCAAAUGCAAACUCUAGGAGAGACAUUGCCUGCUGCACCGUGAGGGAGCAGAGCACAAGUUUCCACUCUCAGAGCAGUGCCUGUGGCAUUCUGGAGAGAAAUCCUGCAGCACUUGAAGUGCUCUGCAGAGACCCAGCAUUUAGGACACUUGUCUGAAAAAAUAUGGUUGUUCCAUGAAUCACAGAAAUGAGAUGAAUAGUCCUACCCUCAUCCUUAGUCACAGACCACCUCUGGUGAUGUUAAGAAACAGAUUUUUUUUUUUAAAAGUUGUACAGACCAGGACUUGGAUUAAAAAUGCAAAUCGGGGUAAGGAUGGUAAGAAAGAAGACAUUCCUGUACUUUCACCAGUGAAAGAUCAUCACACUAAUCCUAACGAUUUCCUGGGGGAGUAUUAGGGUAAAGUAAGCAAAUACUUUCCACAAACAUGGAUUAUGCCCCAAGUUUAUGCAAUCAAGAUAAGGAAUAUUUUAAUGCAAUAUUUAAAAAGAGAAAAUUCUAAAUUUGAGGAACAAAAUCUCAAAUUAAAAAAAAGACAAUAUUGACCCUGUACUUGCAACUCCCUGAGAGUUUUUCAAAGGAAGCUUUCAAGUUGUCAUCGACAUUUGGGCAAAUUCCUUUUAAUUUAUAAAAUUCUUACCAAAAACGUUUUAAAAGGUCUGACCUACUACAUGUCCCAACAGCUUAUACAGGAAGUGAAAUCAUUUUUCAAACAAUACAGUCAAGGUGGAGUCCUGGAAACAGUCUUUCAGUAACCUGACUUAAAUAUCAUUAAAAAACUGUCACAGAGCCAGGAGAACAUGUCAAACAUGGAAAUUCUCUCAAUUAAUGCCAAGUUUUUAAAAAAUCUUGAAAAUAUUAAUAUUAAUUUAAGGCUUCCAUUAAAGUCUGGAAGGUAAAAUUACAUUAAAUGAUUGUUUUAGUUUAAAAUAAGUAAAGUUUUGGAGUUCCUAUGUGGCACAGCAGGUUAAGGAUCCAGCAUUGUCACUCACUGUGGUGGCUAGGGUCAUUGCUGAGUUCCAUCCCUGGCCCUGGCCUGGGAAAUUCCCUAUGCUAUAGGUAUGGCCAAUAAAAAAAAGUAUAGCACUGGAUAAUAUCAAGUCACUUAGGAUGGAGCAUGAUGGAGGAUCAUGUGAGAAAAAGAAUGUACCUAUGCAUGUGUGAUUGCGUCACUUUGCUGUACAGAAGAAAAUUGACAGAACACUGUAAACCAACUAUAAUGGAAAAAAAAUUUAAAGAAAUAAAUAAAAAUUUUAAAAAGUAAAAUUUAAAGUUUGAUAUAAUGCUGUUUUAAUAUUCAAAUAUAUUGUAAUAUUCUGUUUAAUAUUUUAAAAUAUUUCAAUAAAAUAUUAAAAUACAAAAAUAAUGUAGAAGUACUUAAAUUACGCAGAUAUAAAUGGAAUUAAAAAUAAAUUUAAUUAAAAAUAUUAAAAGUAAAAUGCUACGAGUUUUUAAACAUUCCUACUUUACAGUUCUUUAAUACUUUCUCCUCCACUUUAACGUUGUAGCCUUGAAAGACACCAGGAAAGUCACAGCGAAUCUAGGGGCACAGCUUCCCCAGCCUUAGCACCACUGUGGAGAGGAUCCAACUCAUACCCAAGGCAUCCCCAACGCCCCCCAACCCUCCCACCGCCAUCGCGUUCCCGUUUCUGUGAGCUGCACCUACACUGCGCCCGAAUCAGUAAAAUCGGCUACAAAUCGCUCUCGUUCUGAGCCGCACACCCCUCAGAUUCUUGGGUAAAAACGGCCUCGCUAAACUUUCUGUGCAAAAAUAACACAGAAAAUUCAGGCGAACGCUCAGAAAAUGCAAGGUUCCCAGAUCCCUACCAGACAGAAAUGUCGCUGGUCAAGCCGGGACUAGCCUCGCUCUUCAGCAGUCAGGGACUCAGAAAGGAAGGUUGUUCGUGCACUAUUAAAGCAGCACCAACUUGCUCCGUAAAGAUCAGCUCUCUCUCACUGCCAGCCUCACGGAAACUACAGCCUCUGAAAGUCCGUGUUUCCAAAACAAACCCCAUAAAAGGACAUCCUGCGCCCUCUUGCGGCCGCCUAGAGAAGCACCUUGCCCUGGGUUGGGGAAGGAACAAUGGGAUCUGAGCCUAGGCUGAGACCUACACAAACCAGGGCUCACAGCAAGGAUGGCUCCUUAACCCACUGAGCGAGGCUAGGGAUAGAACCUGCAACCUCAUGCUUCCUAGUCAGAGUCACUAAUCACCGAGCCACAACGGGAACUUCCAAUUUUGGUUCAAAAUAAGCAAAGUUUUGGAGUUCCUUUGUGGGGCAGCAGCUUAAGGAUCUUGGCAUUGUUACUGCCAUGGGUUGUAUCAUAGCUGUGGCUGAGGUUCCAUCCCUCGCCCUGGCCUGGAAACUUCCCC